AGGUGUGUUGACCUGAGAGGAAAGGCAUCCGCUUGCCCAAAGUUUGACUUCAGCACCUUGAGAAUAACAGGAAGAAGAGCAAAAAGUGUUUCCUGCAGGUCUGUGCUCGGAGGUGGACUCUGGCGAUGAGCAAGUUACUCCCUCUUGUGGCACGGAGGACCCAAGAACAAGCUUCCUUCAACUGAAUAAUGUAAAGAGGCUUGUUGAAAUGAGACUUCUUACCAGCUCGGUUCGCCUGAUCACCACGCGAGGUCUUUUACCAUUCGGCCAUUCUGCUGCGAAAAUUUUGAAAUUUUUAUAUGUAGUCAAAGGCAGCCAACCACACGAGGUUUUGAAGAUGAAAAAAACGACCAUGUAAAUAUAGUAAGGCGUUUUUA